rnacentral:rRNA from 1 species
UACGUAGGGACCAAGCGUUGUUCGGAUUUACUGGGCGUAAAGGGCGCGUAGGCGGCAUGACAAGUCACUUGUGAAAUCUCUGGGCUUAACCUGGGAACUGCCUUUGAUACUGAGGAGCUUGAGUCCGGGAGAGGUGAGUGGAACUGCGAGUGUAGAGGUGAAAUUCGUAGAUAUUCGCAAGAACACCAGUGGCGAAGGCGGCUCACUGGCCCAUAACUGACGCUGAGGCACGAAAGCGUGGGGAGCAAACAGG